CAUAAGGCAAAACAGUGAAAAAAUGAUUACUUCAGUUACAGAUUUCGGUUUCAUAAAGAACAACACGGUCCAUAUUAGUAGAAGACAGAAUGGAUAAGCGCAGUGUCCACAACCAACACACUAUCAAUAUCCAGAAAAUGUAAAGAACUUCUGCAAAGCAAUACAAAUAAGGAUCUUAUCAAUGUGUCUUCAAGUCAUUUGAAAAGAAAAAAUUCAGCUUUAGUACGACUAUCCCAGAGAGACUACUAA
rnacentral:lncRNA from 1 species